rnacentral:piRNA from 1 species
UGAGAAGGAUUUCACACUCUGAUCUGGU